GAAAGGAGGAGGAGGGUAGAGGCAAACUCCUUAAACUUACUUGGGACACUUGUAGAUCCCAGCAUUGAGUUAACCCAGACUGCAGCCAAGUACAACAGGAAAUCGAUGAGGUCAUUUGGUAUGUGUGGCUUCCAGAGAUGGCAGACCAGGUCUGCAUGCCCUUCACCAAUGCUGUCAUUCAUGAGGGCAUGACUCUCAUCUCCAACCUGUUCCGUGCUGAAGGAUGAGACUGUCUGGGAGAAGCCCCUUCGCUUCCAUCCUGAACACUUCCUGGAUGCCCAGGGCCACUUUGUGAAGCCUGAGGCCUUCAUGCCAUUCUCAGCAGGUGCCUCUAGGGUGCCUUCCUGCCUAUCUUUCCCUAGGGUGCCUUGGAGGGUGGAGCACCAAUCAGGUCCCAGACUGAGCCCUCUUCUACACAUAGGCCACAGAUCAUGCCUGGGGGAGCCCCUGGCCCUCAUGGAGCUCUUCCUCUUCUUCACCUGCCUCCUGCAGCGCUUUAGCUUCUCAAUGCCAGCUGGACAAUCCCUUCCCAGUGAUUAUGGCAUCUAUACAAUGCCAGUUACUCCAGCACCUACCAGCUCUGUGCAGUGGUUUGCUAGCAGGGGCAGUGGCUCCAGCCAUCAUCACAGAUUGUUCUGACUGAUGUCCAAUAAACAAGUUUUGUGUCUGAA